UACGGGGGGGGCAAGCGUUGUUCGGAAUUACUGGGCGUAAAGGGCUCGUAGGCGGCCAACUAAGUCAGACGUGAAAUCCCUCGGCUUAACCGGGGAACUGCGUCUGAUACUGGAUGGCUUGAGUUUGGGAGAGGGAUGCGGAAUUCCAGGUGUAGCGGUGAAAUGCGUAGAUAUCUGGGGGAACACCGGUGGCGAAGGCGGCAUCCUGGACCAACACUGACACUGAGGAGCGAAAGCCAGGGGAGCAAACAGG
rnacentral:rRNA from 1 species